rnacentral:tRNA from 1 species
GCCUGCUUAGCAUAGAGGUUAGAGCAUCACACUUGUAAUGUGGUGGUCAUUGGUUCAAUCUUGAUAACUAGUU